UCGGUCGUCGUUCGUUUUCCAGCAAAUUCGGUUUGUUACCGCGGGUUGGGGUCAUUGCCCAACUCAAUAAUAUUUACAUUUCUGUCGCGUGUCACCCAAGUAUCAGCUGUUUGGUUGUUGACAUUAACUCGUGUCGCAUUGGGAGUUCCGUUAGACUCAGAAAUGGAAAAUGAUUCUGAACAGCAACAAAGAUGCAUGCACAGAAUCAAUCCCAAGAAUCAACUCUAUGUCUCACCCAGUGAUGCAUUAUAUUAGAUUAUAGCAAUGAAAAUGUUCUAUAUAUUGUUACAAUAUUCAGUUAUUAGACAUGUAAUUAAAAGCUGUGGACCUGCAGAAACUUAAUUACAUCAAUACAAAUUACAAAUUGUUUGGAAAUAUGUAUUUAGAAACAAUAUUUGAAGACAAGUUUCUCCUUUGUUACAGUUUGUAGAAUUAGUUCAGUUAAGAGUGUUUCUUGAUUUGAGAUGCUUAAAGAUGAAAAUUACUAACAUGUUUUUGAAUUCAUAUGUCCAUUGUAUUACAACAUUUGUUUUCAUCAUAAAUUACAUGUGGAUAGGAAUUAUGACAUGUUUACAUGGCAGAUUGAAAAGACAAUUACAUAAUCGAUUAAAAUUAAUAUUGUUUGUAUUCAACAAUAAUAUAUUGAUUAGCAAUUAGCAUAAAUGACUAAAAUAAAGUUUCAAGCCCAUGUAUUUGUUAUUUUAAUAAAAUCAGGACCAGAUAGUUUACUUAGUGAGGUAUCAAAUAUUUCACUGUGUGCUUUUUGGGCUGCUACAUUACAGCCUGUACUGCAGUAAUAUACAGGGUGGGACAAAUAAAAGUGGCCUGGAGAACAGAGUUCCAAGGUACAAAGAAACACAGCAGAGGACCGGAAAUACAGUACUAAUCUGACUACGGCAGAUGUUGAAAGUGACCACCAUUCAUCUCUUGGCACUUUUGGGCUCUGGUCAGCAAGUUGCUGAAGGCAGAUCAAAGAUGGACUGUUUGGAAUUGCUGCAUUCUCAUCCAAAAUGCUCUGCUGCAUUUCUUGAAGACUAUGAAUGUUGUUAUGAUACACCAUAAAAUUGAGGGCUUCCCACACACUGACAGACCAGGUGACCUGGGUGGCUAGCUAGGGUCAGACCAGACUAACCUCUGCUAACAACCCUGUCAGGUAUGAAGAUUGUGUAGAAGUGUUCCAAGGUUUGGCCCACUGUAUGGGCUAUUGCUCCAUCCUGUUGGAAGUAACUGUAGGUCUUUUCCUCCUCUGUUAGUACUGGCACAAAUGGUUUCAAAAUGUUGGCAAUGUAACUCACCAAAUUCAGUGUCUAGUGAAUGAAGAUGGGACCAAUAGAGCAGCCUGUACAUCAAACCCAACCUUAUGAUUGUGGAAUGGCAUUCUGUGGAAGUUAUGUGGAUUCUCCACUGCCCAGAACCUGUGAUUCUGUGUGUCGAUAUAACCACUCAUGUGAAACCAGGCUUCAUCAGACAGAAGAAACAGAUCCAUGUCCAAGCCAUUCAUUGUUAUCCCUGUGAAUCACAAAACUGGAGACACUGAGGAGCAUCUGCUGUUUUUAAUGUGUGAGCAAUAGACUCUUGGUAGGGAUGCAUGUGCAGGUGCAGGUAGACUAUGAUCGUGUGAUGUGCCGAUCUCUUGAGACAGACAUUGGGUUGAUUUGAUAACACUCGGAAGCAUUUACUGGUGAACUGAAGCCACAUUUUCUGGUGUGUGGGCACAUUUCGGAUUUUUUUUUUUUUUUUGGACUUGUGGAAAACAGACCCUGUCCAAUGCCAUUUUCAGGCUAAGUGUUGCAUGGCACUCUUUGCUGGCACUUUGACACCAUGAACUUCUGAGCAAACAACUGACCACACCAUUUCCACGACUCUGAUGUCACAUAACUUUCCACAGUGAACACCUGCUGCUCAACUGUGAGUACCAUCAAGCCCUUUGCACUGCUCCACUCACACUCACACAGCUGGCACUAUGCUCUGAACUGGUGUGGACCAUGUGGCAUGCAUACACAUUGUGUCACUGGGUGUGGUUAUAUGCAUACAUUCAUGUCUAAUUGUAUCCACUUGUCCGGGCCACUUUUAUCUGCCCCACCCUGUAGAAAGACAUAAAAAUAUUUCAUUGACACUAUUGUUGGAGCUCUGAUCAAUGACUGUUCUUGUACCAGCAAGCAAUUGUCUUUCAGAGCCUCCUAUAUGCAAGUGUACAGGUGUAAGCCCAUUUUUAUUGGACUUAUUUUACUUGUUUCAAUGGCUAAUACCACUUCUUAAUAAAGUUAAUAUUUUGUUUUUAAUUCUCCGUAGAUAUCAAUACACGGAAUACAAAUAGCAAAGGCUACAGCAGUGUUAACAGUGAAGUGGUACUAAUAAACUUUAUGAGAAGUUGUGUGUUCA